GUCAAAACUUUGUGCGUGCGUAUAUGUCUGCUCUCUUUUGCUUCAUUAUAGAUUUGUGGAUGUCGCUGCACUCAAAAAUGAUAAAGGCAACCAGGAAAAGGUCACAAGCUGGUCCAUCGAUCAGGACAUUUUUCAGAUUUUAACAUUUUCUUUGAAACUUUAGCAGCUUUAAAGGGCUGGGCUGCAGACGAAGGCCGUGAUUGGACAACUCAGAUCAACUUGAAGAUGAUGGGUGUUCUGUUACUAAUGCUUUACUGUGGUGCUGAUUUGAUUAUUUUUUCAUGAGGGCUUUGUUCUGCUUUUCUGAGCAGGUUAUCUUAAAAGGAGAACAUUCUCCAAGAAGUUGAAAUCUUUACAAAGGACCCCCAACCCCCCCCCCCCCCAUGUAAAGGUAAUGGUGAGGGGAGAUGGAUCAGUGCUUCCACAAUACUGUUCAGAAGGAAGGCGUUGCCUUGGUAACACAGAGCUAAAUGAGAAGUUUGCAACACAGUACAUGAGUAUCUCUGGUCUUAUCCUUCCUGUUCUACCUAUUUACCUCCCAGAACCUGAACCUGGUGAAAAGAGCUUCUAUACUAUGAAUCAGAGAGGCAUUGGAUCAGCUGCCUGAAACUUGGAACCUAUUUAGUAACAAAGUAAUGCACUUCUUGUCCAUUAAAGUUUUUUUUUCUU